GAAGGAUUUGGUGGCAGUUACUGAAGUUGAUGAAUCUGACUGAAAUUUCUUUGCUGGGUUGUGUGUUACAGGGGUUGCUUGAGGAGGUAUUAAUAACUUCCUGAUGAAUCCUGUCUUCAAAAGUUUUGCAAACUGCUACAGGCCAAUAGUUUAAAGAGCACUGAACAAAUCUGGCCAACUUCAAGGUAUGUUCUUCUUGUGCAAUACCUAUUGACUCACUUAGGAUAUCUAACAACUUAUGGUUGGACCUGGAUACUUGGUAGCAGGAUCCAGAGUUUCACUGAUGCUUAACAGAGAAAGGAGUCUGGAAGAAACUGAAAACAUUUCCAUCAGUCUACUGGGAUCUGGAAUUGGUUUCCCUGCUCUGGAUAGGAGUCUUCCAGAAUGGUAAUCAAAUUAUGAAGAAUUACUUAUAACAUUAGAAGAAAACAGCAAAUUUUGACAAGAGAGAGGAAUGGGACGGGAGCAUUCACUUGUUGAUUCGUCUGAUUGGUUCACUUUUUGAAACACUAAUGUGGACUUGGAACUGACCUUUCAUUUGAAAAAUGAGCAAUACCAGAAGUUAUGAAAUGCAAAGAAAAUAUACAACAAGAGGAGAAAACAGGGAGUCUUGGAACAGUAAUCUAAGGGAGUCGUUUUUCUGUCCUUGCUAACAGGAAUAGUACAAAGAUGGAAUUCACCAAGGAACAUAAAGGGAAAAAAAUCUCUUGGAAAUCUUUGCAUUAAAAUCUCAUCUACCACCAGCCCUUUUUUAUGGAAAUAAGUCAGCACUACUGGAAAAGAAAAUGCUAAACCUGUGCUCUUCGAUUCAUCUUCAUUUCUGCUGUUUACCUAAGAAAACAGCAACUCUGUCCGGUUUGGGAGAGAAAAAAAAAAUGUAUUUUUUUCCCCCAUUGAUUGUUCUUUUAAUGUUUUUUUAGUCAAUGUGGAAUUUUACCUAACUUGCAUCAUUUUUCAGGAGCUGAUUCAAAACAGAUUUCCUAAAAAGAAUAUGCAAUUACAGUGCUAAACUAAGUGCCAGAAAAUGGAAACAAUCCGUUUUGAGAACUCCAUUGUGUCUCCGGGAUUUAGAUGCAGUUGAAAAUGUCAUCAAUUUUUACAUGUAAGAAGGAAGAGACAAAAGAAACAAAGAUAAAGUGGGAAAAGUCUUUAGGGACAAUUCAGAACAAUAUGGAAGUAAUCAAAAGUCAGUCAACAGACCAAAUAAAUCUUCAUAGAAGGGAAGUACUGGCUAAAGUUAAAGCAGUAUAAGGAAGGUCGAACUAAGGUAGAUGUAGUCUGUUUACAUAAGAGACUAGGAGAUUACAAACAACAUAUGAGAUAAUUAGCAUUGGCAAAAUCUCAAAAGGUUUGGAGCUUUGUUUCAGUCAGAAUAAGCAUCAAUAAAUUUGUCUGCUUUACUAGACCUUCUCCAUGACUUCAGCUUUACAAAGAAAACAAGCAAAAUGCGCAAAAGAAUACAUGCAGAAAUCCUAGCACUUCUUUCAAAUGUCCCUUUCUCCACGCUGUUGACUGUUUGUCAGUACUUCCCAGAGGUACAUAAAAAUGUGUAAUAACCCUAAUUUUCUCUAAACACCUUGAUUCCCAAGUAGCAUUUGAGUUACAGAUAAUAGUUACUUUCAUGUCUCAUUCCUCUAGCAUAACUCAGUCCAUUUUUUAAAUCUCCAGAUAGAGAAACAAAUGUAUUGUUACCAAAGUAUGUAUGUAUUUAUAUAUAAAGAUAUGUAAUAUAUAAAAUUCUGAAGAAGUGCAGACAUGAAGUUGAAGAGAAAUAAAGCAUCCGGAUUAUAGUGCAAUGUUUUGUUUUGUUUUUUCCAAGACUGCAGUCUUGGAAAUGAAUGAAUAAUAACAAAAUUUCAAAUACUUGAUUGGUUGGCAGGUCAUGAAGAUGCAGGAAAUUUUUGUACACAUAACUGCAAAGGGGAAAAGAAAACAAGUUAGAUUAAAAGUCCUGCAUGUGAUUGAAUUACAGUUGACACAAGACAGACACACUUAAGACUCCAGCAUAACAUCCAUCCUGCUGAAUGAGGUGUUAGCUGAGUCAUAGGGUAAACCUACACAUCACUGUGCUCAGGAAUCCCAGCUACCCAGUCAUCCUCAUGUUACAUCUUCUGAGUGUAUGUCAAGAAUGCUAUGGGUUUUCCAUUGCAUGGAAAUUUGUUAUUUGCUGCUUGCAGUGACACAGCUGAAUUUGGUGCAGCAGCAGUCUAGCUUCCAGAGAUUAAAAGGAUCCAGAAGGAAUCUGAGAGUGUAAAGACUGUGUCCAAUAUCUUUCUGUUAGUGAAUGAGCUUGGAGAUGCCAAAGGGGUUUUAUCCACUCCUUCUUCCCCUUUAAUCCAUUCCAAACAUUUAUCUCCCCUCCCUUUCUAAGACAGAGACACAGGUCACUAAAUCUACUCCAGAUGUAGAUGUAUUUUUGUACUUUGAGCUGUCUCUGCAUUUUGCUGCCUGGAAUACUUAGUGUCUGCCUAUCUCAGGGACUGCUAUACUCCUAGAUAUCACUGGUGUUUCCCUUUGACCGUAUUUGACAACCCCUCUUACAUACUUACCAAAGCUUGAACCUGACUGUACUUGUCACUGCUCAAAACAAUCAAGGUGAUUUCUAAUAAAAGUAUAGAUAUGUAUGG